UAGACUCCAAAGUGUCAAAGC
rnacentral:piRNA from 1 species